rnacentral:rRNA from 1 species
UACGAAGGGGGCUAGCGUUACUCGGAUUGACUGGGCGUAAAGGGCGCGUAGGCGGCUUGUACAGUCAGACGUGAAAUUCCUGGGCUCAACCUGGGGGCUGCGUUUGAUACGUGCGGGCUUGAGUUCGGAAGAGGGUCGUGGAAUUCCCAGUGUAGAGGUGAAAUUCGUAGAUAUUGGGAAGAACACCGGUGGCGAAGGCGGUUCUCUGGGCCUGUACUGACGCUGAGGAGCGAAAGCGUGGGGAGCAAACAG